AGGGUUAAAGUCCUCUGGAUAGGCAUGUAGUUGUUAACUAUGGUAUUACGGGAUCAAAGCCCGUCAGCUUAGU
rnacentral:tRNA from 1 species